rnacentral:lncRNA from 1 species
CUAUAUUAUAACAAGAGCAAUAGAUAUAUAGCAUCUAGCAUUGGACUUGCUUUUAACUGUGUUAACUGAAUAAUGCUUCCUUCCUGAUAUUAUAGUAUGAUUUUUAUUCAACUCGGCCGCCAGGCAGCUUCGACUUCCAAUAAUGAUACCACUAAUUAUUGAUAAAGUUGUAAGGAAGCCAAUUUCAAAUUGGAGCCUGCCAAAUCCAGUCAAUUUGACCCUUAUAUUUAGGGGUGUGCAAACGGUUCGGUUAACCGAAAACCGAACCGAAUAACCGAAAAAAAUUCGGUUCGGUUAACCGAAUUUCAUAAUUCGGUUCGGUUUUCGGUAGUAGUUUUUCUGAAAUUCGGUUUUUCGGUAAUUCGGUUUUUAACCGCGGUUAACCGAAAAACCGAAUAUAAAACCGAAAUAUCUAUUAAUAAUUAAUAUAACUUCACUUCUAUUCCUCACUUCCCUGAACAACACACGAGUCACGAUGCACCCAGCAGAGAUUCUCGCGACAGCCGAGUUGCAUAAACCCAAAUGAAGGCAAUCUAAUUAAAGAUUUGGAGUCCAAAUCACAGCAAACCCCUCUAUUCUCUCAAUAACGACGCACAGAGCCGCGGAGGUAUGUCGAUUCUCAUUCUAAUUGUGGUGUUUGUUGCUUGGAUCUUGUAGUUGGGUUGAAACAUGGGUUAUAUGUUGAUUUUUGUGGGGGAGAAAGAUCAAUGGUGUACUGUCAAUCUGAUGCAACCUGGACUGUAGAGCCUGCUUAUGCUUAUCUGGGUUCUUGUAUUGAAACUUAUUCUGAUGGAAAGUAAACUAGUAAUAUCUGUGAAUUGUGACUUGUUUUUCUGAAUUUUAUUCUGAAUUUUCUGAAUUUCGGUUUUAAUUUUCGGUUUCGGUAUUAACCGAAAUUAAAACUUCGGUUCGGUUUGAAAACCGAACAUAUUUCGGUUCGGUUUUCGGCAGCAGUUUUUCCACUAUUUCGGUUUCGGUUAACCGAAAUUCGGUUCGGUUCGGUUCGGUUUUUACCGAAUGCACAGCCCUACUUAUAUUAGCUGCGCGUAUCCCAGGAAUGGUGACGUCGAAAAAAAUUAUAUGACGUUCGUACCUCCGAUUUCUCGGUAAUUUUUAUAAUUUAUUUUUAUCUUUUUUAGUUAAAAACUAAUAUUUUAUUAACAAAUAUUUAAAAUAAUUUAUGAAACUAUAUUUUAUAAAAGGUUUGAAAUACAUGCCGAACCUUUUGUCCUCGA